UCAACUACAGGGCAUCAGUUACAGGAAAGACUUCCCAGAGUGCACUUAGUCUCCAGAGAGUUGGGCUUGAACCGGGCAAGCAGGAUGGACCGGGGGCAGUGGCCUGAGACUGAGAGCUGGCACCUGUGCUGAGUCAGCGUGCGUGAAGACGCUAAGGCAGGGCAGCACUGCUCCGCGCCAGUCCGGUGGCAGCAGGAGUUUUCAGGCAGGGCAGUGGCCCUGCUGGGGACAAUAUGCGGAAGUAGGACAGCAGGUCCCUGAAAGAGUUUUCUUUUCAGCUCUGGCUUCAGGUGAAGAAGAGGACAGCACCAGGAAUGCUGUCGUUUGUCUUGAUGCGUUAAAGGAGCAGAGCCCACAGAAGCACUCUGACCCAACUCAUGAACUGUGAGUGUCUAAUGAACUUUUCAGUUGCAAGAAUUGCUGUGAUGGAUAGACAUUUCAUGAAUCCUCUGCAAUCCCCCAGGCAUGACCUUGUGAUACCUACAGAGGUUCUUCAACCCGCUUAUUACUGAUCACACGGUUCGGUUGCAGGUUGCAGUGUGUCUAGUCUGAGCUGCCGGGGUCUUCAAUCUCAUCAGGAUUGUCACCUUCACUCUCCAUUGAUGGGAAAGGAAGGUCUAAAUUCACAUUUGUUGUGGAGGAAUUACUUCCUACUUGAGAUUCCUUCAAUUUUCAGAAGCAUGGACACCACGAUGCUUCCUGUUUAAUGACAUCAAAUAUACCUGUCGCAAGAUGAGUUUGGAAUGCUGCUACCCAACCGCUUUGUGUCCUGCAUCGUGUGGGCACUUCCACACCUUUAUGUGAAUGAAAGUAAGGCUAAGCUGCUGCAUCCAAACAGACACCCCCAUCCCCCCAAAAAUUCUUAGUGUCUUAAAGAAACAAAUAGACUUCUUGGUCAUGCACCAACCUGAGUGAGUAUUGCCAGUUGGUAAUUCUGCUGCAUGGUGAUUAUUCAGAAACCAGGCUAACGGUGGCUCAGCUACCUUCAAUAUCUGUCCCUUAGUAACAACCUAUACUCCAUUUAUGAGCUUCAUAGACCCAAAACUGGUCAUUUUAUUACCUUGUAAUUUAAAAUGUGACCCAUAAAUUGACUUAUCUCUUCAAUGUGUACAUUUGUCCCCUUUUUAAAAAAAUCAUGGCAUAGUGACUAUUUUUACAUGUCAUGUGUAGUGAACAAACUUGGUAAAACAUAGAGAAUUUUCUCUCUCUCUCUCUUUUUUUUAGUUGUAUUGAAGACCAAAUAAAUGAAUCCACGGGCUUGUUUUUUGUAUAUACGAUUCUUCUGUUCAAAAAAAGCUGAGGAUUGAUAGUAAAGGCCCAUGUUUUUUACAUCUAACUUGCAGUUAUGCUAAUGUGCCAAUGUCAGGCUGUGUUUUCUGUGGCAAGAAUUGAACUUCAAAAUAUAAACAAAGGAAUGAGUUCUUUUGUCCUCCAUUUUUGUGUAUGCUGGGUUUUCCUUGUGAACAAGAAUAAAGCCUUUUUUUCCCUCAUAAGUAGUGACUUAAAAUUGGUCAAAAAGAAAAAGUAAAAGGACAGCAAUGUGUUGGCAUAUGCCAGGAAAUGGCGGUGACUACUUUUAUUUUUAUAGUUCAUUGUGAAAGGCAUGUAACAGAAAAAGUUUGAGAGACUGCUAAGAAUAAAAUAUUUU